CGGCCGCGGGCGAGCAGGGAUAGGGGCGGGGUUUAAGGCGCACCGCCAGCAGUGAGGAGGCCAGCGAGGGCUGCCCCGCCCGCCUGAGGGGCCGUAGCCCAGCGACAGGCCAGCUUCCUUGAGGACAGACUGAAGAAUGAGGCUUUCAGGUCUCUGAAGGAUGUCAUCCAGGGAACUUUUUCCCAUGUUUUCACUUUCCUCUGGAAGGAGAUGUCCCCCGUUGAAGCAAACACCACACAAGGUCAAGCAGAGGAGCAGCAGGGGCAGCUGGAUAGAUGGCAUUGUGGGACAGGAUUCCUGCAGCUUCCAUGGACAGAGAACAACAGGGGAGGAGGAUCAAGCUAGCAAUAACAGCAAUUUUUCCAGACACUGAAAAAUAAAUAUGGCACUGCUGCAGA